rnacentral:rRNA from 1 species
UACAGAGGGUGCAAACGUUGCUCGGAAUUAUUGGGCGUAAAGCGCGUGCAGGCGGCUUCGUUAAGUUGACUGUGAAAGCCCUUGGCUCAACCAAGGAAGUGCAGUCAAAACUGGCGAGCGUCGAGUCCCGAAGAGGGUGGCGGAAUGCCAAGUGUAGAGGUGAAAUUCGUAGAUAUUUGGUAGAACACCAGUGGCGAAGGCGGUGACUCGUGG